UUCCCAGCCCCGGGGUUGCAUCACACCACCGGCACCGCCGCUUCGGGGGCAGGAGCUCGCUGAACGCAAACCUGCAUCCUCGGGGCUGCCGGUGUGGGUCUCAAAGGUUGUUUUAUUUCCCCAGUUCCAAGACUGGAGCAUACUGAUGGGGGUUGAAGCCUGAUGAUGCUGGAUAUUUUUUCCCCCCAAUCCCAAGACUGGAGCAUGUUGAUAGGAGAUGCAGCCUGUUGGAGCUGUGGGUUUCAUGCCCC